AACCAAUGAAAGAUCCCAGCAUGGGGAUGUAGCUCAGAUGGUAGAGCGCUCGCUUAGCAUGCGAGAGGUACGGGGAUCGAUACCCCGCAUCUCCAAUCCGUUUUACAUUUCUGAUCUUUGGAACGAGCAACAAAGAGUACCCUUUUGUUGAUUUUGAAUCAAUAAAAGAUCCCAACAUGGGGAUGUAGCUCAGAUGGUAGAGCGCUCGCUUAGCAUGAGAGAGGUACCGGGAUCGAUACCCCGCAUCUCCAAUCCGUUUUACAUUUCUGAUCUUUGGAACGAGCAACAAAGUGUACCCUUUUGUUGGUCUUGUGUUUUGAUUCAAUCUAGUUAUUGCAAGUUCAAAGCCAAAGAUUUGUUAUCCGUGCUUUUUGACCUUCAAGGAUCUGGAGAUGGUUCCUAUGUGGUGGUGGGAGGGAUCACUCCAACUCGUCUUGGAGUGGGAGAGUACUACAGCCGUUGGGCUAUGUCAAGCAUUGGGUACUUUUCUGGAUAAAAAGUUCUGAUGUUAGGUUGCUACCUGCAUUUGUCAACCAUCAUGAGGACUGACCUUUGGAAUCAAAGGGGGUCCAGCAGGUGGUGGUUUCAGUCAAGUGAUCCCAAUGGAUGAGUUCAAUCUUUAUUUAAUAGGAGACGUACAUGCUAUAACAGCUGCGAACAAUCUUCUUGCAUCUGCCAUUGACACCAGGAUCUUCCAUGAGUCAGCACAAUCAGACAAGACUCUCUUGAACUGAUUGUCCCCACCAAGCAAAGAAGGGAAACGUAGCUUUAGUAAUAUAAUUUUUAGAUGACUGAAGAAGCCCAAUAUCUUCAAGACCAAGCCUGAGGAUCAUACACCGCAAGAAGUUAUAAAUUUGCUAGGCUUGAUGUUGACCCAGAUUGCAUCGCAUGGAGGAGAGUUAUUAAUGUGAAUGACAGGUUAUUAAGAAAGAUUAAUGUUAGCCAGGGGCUAGAAGAAAAGGGGAUGACAAGGGAAACAGAAUUUGAUAUUUCAGUUGCUAGUGAGAUAAUGGCAGUUUUGGCCCUCACAACAGCUCUAGCUGACAUGAGAGAGAUGCUUGGAAAAUGGUGAUUGGAUAUAUCAAGGCUGGUGAUCCAGUAAUUGCGUUAACUGUUCUAAUGAAGGAUGCCGUCAACCCCACUUUGAUGCAUGCAAUUGAAGGAACUCCUGUUCUUGUUUAUGCUGGCAUAUGAUGCUGUGAUUUGCACUCACCACGCCCAUGGUGGAAAUGAAGAGUAGACCUUGGAAUUGUGGCUCAAAAAGCUUGUGAGAAUGUGGCACAACCACUUCAGUUGUUGUAUCCUUUGGAUAUUAGUAUUAAAGAGAAAAUAGGGGCAAUAGCAUGGUCCUAUGGUGCAAUUGGAGUCGAAUACACAGAGCAGGUAAAAAAAUUUAUGCCUUGUUCCAGCAAUCAACUCUCUUUUGCUUAAUCAUCUCAUUCAACCCACUUAAGCUGAAGUUGAAAUGUAUCUGAAAGUUGUAAAAUCUGAUCUCAAAUACACUCAUUCAAUCCUAUGAGAAUCUGACAAAAUGAAGAAGUUGGAGGCAAAUACUUGUUUUCAUUUCUUGAAUA